AGCAUAGUUACUCUGUGAUGAAGAAAAACUCAGAAAACUAUCCAGAUGUGGGAAUUUCUCGGGUAUUCCUUGCACUUGAACUUAAGGAUGAAUGAAGGUAUAGACAAGUCUGUACUUCUCCUACAUAAAUGCCUUGCAUGGCGGGAACUAAAUCAACUACACAGACCCAUACAUCCAGAGAGCAGAGGUGAGCUGGAUACAGUGGCUUAGAGAUGUGGUGGAAGGAGCCCAGAGCUCCAAGGGAAGGGCAGCAAGGAGACAACAGCAUGGGUUGCAGCUCAGACAACAGGUAAAUAAAACCAAGCAAAGCUGCUGGUCACAGAUUUGACCAGGGUGGCAAGAAAUGACAAGCUACGGUGAGAUUCAACAGUGGCACAGAAGGAUGAUGAGAAGCAAACAGAUUAGGAGGAGCUGCCACCACCGUAGGCAGAGGCACAGAUGACCAAGCAGAACAGCACCAGUCCCUGCAAGGUGUGCUCAGAUACAGCUCGGCACAGCCAUCUGGCCAGGAGGGAAUGAUACUGCACAUGGCGUGCAUUGCAGCUGGGAAGUUGAGAACCGCCGUGGGCACCUCAGGACCAAGUCUGGUUACCCUGCUGAUCCAAGAAAUGAAGCCAUCUAAAAUUUUGCCUGCUUUUACAGUUUUCUGUGUGUGUGUGUGUGUGUGUGUGUGCGCGCGUGUGUGUAUUAAACAAAGUGAACUAAGAAGCC
rnacentral:antisense_RNA from 1 species